CGAUUAAAUAUAUUUAAUUAUUAACGAACAAAUUAAAAAAUAAUAACACAUCAAUGGACCGCACGAUUUGUUAAUAGUGAAACAUAUCAAAAAAAUUCAGGUAAAACUAAAUGACUAAAUAAUAAUACUAUCAUCGUGGAAAGCUCAGAACUAAAGAAACCGAAUCUAAUAACUAAUAGCCUAAACUAAUAUAAUCUAAUCUGACAACUAUAAGUAGAGAACCUUUUCAAUAAAUAU